rnacentral:rRNA from 1 species
GACGAACGCUGGCGGCGUGCUUAACACAUGCAAGUCGAACGGUGAAGCGCCUUCCUUUUUGGUGGGUGUGGAUGAGUGGCGAACGGGUGAGUAACACGUGAGUAACCUGCCCCCUUCUUCUGGAUAACCGCAUGAAAGUGUGGCUAAUACGGGAUAUUCUGGGUCUGUCGCAUGAUGGGUCUGGGAAAGAUAUUGUUUCGGUGGGGGAUGGGCUCGCGGCCUAUCAGGUUGUUGGUGGGGUGAUGGCCUACCAAGGCGGUGACGGGUAGCCGGCCUGAGAGGGUGGACGGUCACACUGGGGCGGAGACACGGCGCAGACUACUACGGGAGGCAGCAGUGGGGAAUAUUGCACAGUGGGCGCAAGGCUGAUGCAGCGACGCCGCGGGAGGGAUGGAGGCCUUCGGGUUGUGAACCUCUUUCGCCAGUGAAGCAGGCCUGCCUCGUUUGUGGGUGGGUUGACGGUAGCUGGAUAAGAAGCGCCGGCUAACUACGUG